UCCGGGGUGGUGUAGUUGGUCAGCACUCCAGGUUUUGGACCUGGCGGCGAGGGUUCAAGUCCUUCCCCCGGAG
rnacentral:tRNA from 1 species